CCCUAGCCCGGAUUGCAGCGAAAAUCCUUUUUGAAUGAAGCGCAGCGGAGUUCAAAAAGAUUGCAGCGGAAAGCCGGAAAAGCU
rnacentral:sRNA from 1 species